UUUUUUUUUUUUUUGGAAGUAGGAACAUUAGGAAAUUGAAGGAUCGUCGACUUUGGAUUGAAGUGUGAUUACAUUGUCACAUUGUGGAAUUUUUUAGCUGCUGGAUGAUGGAUGUGUGUGUGUAUCCAGUUGCCGCUUGCUUCCUGCCUUAUUUCGAUCUUCUGUGGCGAAUUUUAUCAGAGGUGGCCAAAUUAAGCGGGAAAAUUGGAAAAUUUGAGUGGGAAUCAGUUCUUCCACCACCUAGCGUUGCGGGCUCCUGCGGCGAAUUUCAUCUGAGUAAUGGACUUCAACACCCAGAGGAAUGCUACGAAGUUACUGUGGCGAAUUUCAUUUGGGUAACCUAUAUAUAUGCCUACGUAUGGUUAUAACCUUUGCAUAGUAUCGUGAUUUACUACCUGUGACAUGGGUAGUGCCUGUCUUGCAAUGAAUGAUCCUUCAACUUUCUAAUUCAGUGGUUUAAGAUGCUCAAAAUCAUAUUGACUUUGACGAUCCAUAACUAACUAACUUGUAUUUGGACACUUUUGAUGUUAAUCUUUAAGAUACAGACCAGCCCAACUUCUGCAGUGACCUUUUACGUUUUUUUAAAAAAAUCUUUUAGUUUUUGUCUGCUAUGUGUACGUAGAUCAACUGAGGUACCGACAGUUUGCCAAGUGUUCCCGGCAUGAAGGAACCAGUGAUAUCAUUCUAGUGUCUAGUAUGAUGUGAACUUGAAAAUUGAACUACUUUAGGUACUUGUCCUUUUCGUUAUUCAGUAGAAUACUCUAAGUGAAAUGCUUUUGGUAACAGGGAAAGCUUCGUUGGACCUGGGUCCUUAGGAUAUCACUUCAGAAAAUAUGGAUCUAACGUACCUGUAGAAAUUGGAAUUGAUGAUACAAUUGAUAUCUAGUAAUUUGUCUGUUUGUGUUUAUUAGCGAGCUUUAUAUAUUAAGCAUUUUUGUAGAUACUUUGUUGGGUUUUUGUUUGUUUGUUUGUUUCUAUGUCUUUUUGUUGCAGGGAGGGGGCCCAUGAUUGUCUUUCACCCUAUAAUAUUUGUAGAUGAUUAAGUGUGCAUAUAUUUUUUUCUCUUUUCAUCGUUGUCUUUGCAAGAGGAGAAUAAAACUUCAUGUGAAAUUCCUUGCAUGGGGCAGUGUCAUUGAAAGAAUUAUGUUGUUUGUCUUAUCGGGUUUCAAUUCACAGAUUAAAAGAAGAAAUUUUCUGCAGGUCUUUUGGUUCAUUGUGUAAGUUCGAAAUCUCGAUGACUGAAGGUCGAAAAUGUUACUGUUAAGAUAAAAAUGUGAGAAUGGAACUAUACCGUUGCUAUCUCAUGAUAUUAAAUUUUAGUUCCUUCACUAGCAAACAGCCUUUGAUUUUGUGAAAUAAUGUUGUAGAGUUCACUAUAUGCAAGCAAGCAGCAGUAAUCUGCUCCAUUCAUUAUGGGCACAAGUAGGUAUAGAUCCUAUAACUUAAGAGACUGGGAAUUUGUUGUCAAUUUAGAAGACCUUAUUUAUGUGUGUGCGCGUAGAAGUCAAAUAAUAGUCUUUAAAAUGUUCACUAUUUAAUGUCCAUUUCAGGUAUCAAAACUCAUUAGCCAUUGGCUCUUCUCAUCAUGGAUAUAGAUCUUAGGUUGCCUUCUGGUGAGCAUGACAAAGAUGAAGAAUCAAAUGCAAUUAACAAUAUGUUGGAUGUGAAAGAAAAACUUCAUAAUGGAGUUAUUGGGAGUGGAAGUAUGGUUGAUACUACAGAGGGGAUGCACAUUGAAGAUGGUGGAGAUUCAAAACCCCCUCUGCUAGACAUGGUAAUGUUUAAAGAGGACACAAAUUUGGAACCACUUCCUGGUAUGGAAUUUGAAUCACACAGUGAAGCAUAUUCCUUUUAUCAGGAAUAUGCUCGCUCUAUGGGAUUCAACACAGCAAUACAAAAUAGCCGCCGUUCAAAGACAUCAAGGGAAUUUAUUGAUGCAAAAUUUGCUUGUUCCCGUUAUGGUAUGAAGAGAGAGUAUGAUAAGUCCUUCAAUCGUCCACGUAUAAGGCAAACUAAACAAGAAAGUGAAAAUUCAACUGGUCGAAGAGCAUGUGCGAAGACAGACUGCAAAGCUAGCAUGCAUGUGAAGAGGAGGGCGGAUGGUAAAUGGGUUAUUCAUAGUUUUUUUAAGUUGCAUAACCACGAGCUUUUACCAGCUCAAGCUGUCAGUGAACAAACAAGAAAGAUGUAUGCUGCGAUGGCUAGGCAGUUUGCUGAAUACAAAAAUGUGGUAGGGCUGAAGAAUGACUCCAAGAAUCCCUUUGAUAAGGUCUGCAGUUUGGCUUUUGAAGCUGGCGAUGCAAGGGUUUUACUUGACUUCUUUACUCAGAUGCAGAAUUUGAACUCUAACUUCUUUUAUGCUGUAGAUAUUGGCGAAGAUCACCGGCUAAGGAAUUUAUUUUGGAUCGAUGCAAAAAGUAGGCAUGACUAUAUUUAUUUUAAUGAUGUGGUUUCUCUUGAUACUACCUACAUUAGAAAUAAAUAUAAGAUGCCCCUUGCUUUCUUUGUUGGGGUGAAUCAACAUUAUCAAUUUAUGUUGCUAGGAUGUGCUUUGCUAUCAGAUACAAGUCCAGCAACAUAUGCAUGGUUAUUACGUACAUGGUUGAAAGCAAUUGGUGGACAGGCUCCAAAAGUCGUUAUCACUGAUCAUGAUAAGGUACUGAAGUCACUUAUUCCAGAGGUGCUUCCAAAUGUGUAUCAUCACUUCACUUUGUGGCAUAUAUUAGGAAAACUUUCUGAAAACCUUGGUAAUGUAAUGAAACAACAUGAUAAUUUUAUGGCAAAAUUUGAAAAAUGCAUCUAUAGGUCAUGGACAAAGGAAGAGUUUGAGAAAAGGUGGUGGAAACUGGUUAACAGAUUUGAACUCAAGGAAAAUGAGUUGGUUCAGUCCUUAUGUGAAGAUCUAAGACACUGGGCGCCUACAUACAUGACAGAUGUCUUUUUGGCUGGAAUGUCCACAGCACAACGAUCUGAAAGUGUAAACUCUUUCCUAGAUAAGUAUUUGCACAAGAAGACCACUGUACAAGAGUUUGUGAAACAGUAUGAAGCAGUUUUACAGGAUAGGUAUGAAGAGGAAGCAAAAGCUGAUUUUGAUACUUGGAACAAACAACCCACCUUAAAAUCUCCUUCACCAUUUGAGAAGAAUGUUUCGGGGCUGUACACACAUGCAGUAUUUAAAAAAUUUCAAGUUGAGGUCUUAGGUGCUGUUGCUUGCCAUCCUAGGAGGGAAAAGCAAGAUGAUGAAAACAUUACCUAUCAUGUUCAAGAUCUUGAUAAGAAACUUGACUUCAUUGUUGUAUGGAAUGAACUGAAGUCGGAAGUUUCUUGUCUAUGCCGGUUAUAUGAAUCUAAAGGUUACCUUUGUAGACAUGCUAUGAUUGUUCUUCAAAUUUGUGAACUUUCUACUAUUCCACCUCAAUAUAUUUUAAAACGGUGGACAAAAGAUGCUAAGAGCCACCAAUUAAUGGGAGAAGAACCUGAGCCAGGACAAUCUCGGGUUCAUCGGUACAAUGAUCUAUGCCAACGAGCAUUGAGAUUGAUUGAAGAGGGAUCUUUGUACCGAGAGAGUUACAGUAUUGCAGUGCAUGCACUCGAUGAAACGCUUGGACAUUGUAUUGGUAUCAAUAGUUCUAAUAGAACUGUUUUAGAAGCUGGUACAUCAGCAGCUCAUGGUCUACUCUGCAUUGAAGACGACAAUCAGAUUAGAAACAUAGGCAAGACAAACAAGAAAAAAAAUCCAACUAAGAAACGGAAGGUGAAUUUCGAGUCUGAUGUCAUGACUGUUGGAGCACAAGAUAGCUUGCAGCAGAUGGACAAAUUAAGCUCAAGAGCAGUAACCCUUGAUGGCUAUUUUGGCACACAGCCAAGUGUGCAAGGAAUGGUACAACUUAACUUAAUGGCACCAACCCGUGAUAAUUAUUAUGGAAAUCAACAGGCCAUCGGAGGGCUGGGGCAAUUAGACUCAAUAGCACCUAGCCAUGAUGGUUAUUAUGCUGAUCAACAGAGUAUCCAUGCACUGGGACAAAUGGAUUUUUUCCGAACACCGACUGGUUUCACCUAUGGCAUUCGGGAUGAUCCCAAUGUACGAACAACUCAGUUGCAUGAUGAUGCAUCAAGACAAACAUGAUUAACCACUAAUCUUAGUGAAGGUGCUUCACUAGUGGAUAUUUGUAUUUAGCCAUAAAAUGAACUUAUCAUUUCCCAGGUGCAGGAAACAACACAUUCUUCUAGUGUCUGUCAAAAAAGUUAGUGGCUGGAGAUAUACCAAAUGUUGGUCCUCCUUAGGCGAUUGUAUCAUAAUAACAAGUCCAAAAAGCCAAAGGUUUAUAUGGUCGGAUGCUAUCAAAGCCCUUGUUAUCUAAAUGGUGGCCAGAGCAGGAUAUGAGAGGUUUGGUGAAAUGCCACAGUUCGAUAAAUUUCUUACCUUUGAAGAUGAUAGUCAUCUUCAUCAAUCAAUCACGGUGAAUUAAAUAGCUUGAAUAAUGGAUUUGAGAGUUCCUGGAUUAUGCCUUGGGAUGUUGUCAAGUAAAGUGAGUGUGAUCUCUCUUAUCAUUUCAGGAUUAUAUAGAAAAUUACUUGCAGGGAAAUUCUGUCAAAGAGACAGAUUGUAAAUUAUGCUUUGAUGAAAAGGAAAGGAUUAUGUAGCAACAUCUAGGUGAGAUGUGAAAACUCUGCUUCUUACUGCUGGAAAAAAUGGUCGACGUUGUGGCUGAAAUGCAUGAUAGAGAUGAUGGAAUUGUUAGUUUACCGAAGGACAUCCUGUUUGAAGGGGACAUAGAUUUUGAGCCACGGAGUGGAAUUGAAUUUGAAUCCCACGAAGCUGCAUACACAUUUUAUCAAGAGUAUGCCAAAUCAAUGGGAUUCACCACAUCGAUUAAGAAUAGUCGACGUUCAAAGAAAUCAAAAGAGUUUAUUGAUGCAAAAUUUGCAUGUUCAAGAUAUGGAGUUACUCCUGAAUCUGAGAAUGGAAAUAGUCGAAGGCCAAGCGUGAAAAAAACCGACUGUAAAGCCAGUAUGCAUGUGAAGAGAAGGCCAGAUGGAAGAUGGAUUAUUCAUGAAUUCAUAAAAGAUCAUAAUCAUGAGUUUUUACCUGCUCUUGCAUAUCAUUUCCGCAUCCAUAGGAAUGUAAAGCUUGCAGAGAAGAACAACAUCGUCAUAUUACAUGCUGUUAGUGAAAGAACACGGAGGAUGUAUGUUGAGAUGUCGAAAAAACGUGGUGUGUACAGAAAUGUUGGUUUCCCGCAGAUUGACACAACUUAUCAGUUCAACAAAGGCCAGUAUUUAGCGCUUGAUGAGGGUGAUGCGCAAGUAUUGCUGGAGUAUUUUAAGCGUAUCCAAAA